GAUGAACGCUAGCGGCAGGCCUAAUACAUGCAAGUCGAACGGGUGGUCGCAAGACCACUAGUGGCGCACGGGUGCGUAACGCGUAACCAACCUGCCCCGAUCUGGGGGAUAGCCCGCCGAAAGGCGGAUUAAUACCGCAUAUACCCGCAGCCUGGCAUCAGGCAACGGGGAAAGAUUUAUUGGAUCGGGAUGGGGUUGCGUGACAUUAGCUAGUUGGCGGGGUAAGGGCCCACCAAGGCGACGAUGUCUAGGGGACCUGAGAGGGUGAUCCCCCACACUGGCACUGAGAUACGGGCCAGACUCCUACGGGAGGCAGCAGUAGGGAAUAUUGGGCAAUGGGCGAGAGCCUGACCCAGCCAUGCCGCGUGCCGGAUGAAGGCCUUCUGGGUUGUAAACGGCUUUUCUCAGGGAAGAAAAGGACCUUGCGAGGUACACUGACGGUACCUGAGGAAUAAGCACCGGCUAACUCCGUG
rnacentral:rRNA from 1 species